rnacentral:rRNA from 1 species
GACGAACGCUGGCUGCGUGCUUAACACAUGCAAGUCGAACGCUGAAGCCCCAGCUUGCUGGGGUGGAUGAGUGGCGAACGGGUGAGUAACACGUGAGUAACCUGCCCCUGACUUCGGGAUAAGCCCGGGAAACUGGGUCUAAUACCGGAUACGACUAUCGGACGCAUGUCUGGUGGUGGAAAGUUUUUUCGGUUGGGGAUGGGCUCGCGGCCUAUCAGUUUGUUGGUGAGGUAAUGGCUCACCAAGACGACGACGGGUAGCCGGCCUGAGAGGGCGACCGGGCACACGGGGACUGAGAAACGGCACAGACUCCUACGGGAGGCAGGAGUGGGGAAUAUUGCACAAUGGGGGAAACCCUGAUGCAGCGACGCAGCGUGCGGGAUGACGGCCUUCGGGUUGUAAACCGCUUUCAGCAGGGAAGAAGCCUUCGGGUGACGGUACCUGCAGAAGAAGUACCGGCUAACUACGUG